GAGAAAGUCUUGCAUAUUUAAAUCUGAUGGAAAUUAGAAAAACACGUGGACACGAGGAUCGGUUUCAUUCCAAUAGCCGGGCAGAAAGUCAGCCAUGGGCUGCGUAUGUUUACACCCGCUCUGCACUAAAGUACAGUUUCCCAAAGGCGACAAUGAAGCGGAUAAAGGGCAUCCACCAUCUUUUCACAGACAAGAGAACGGUGACGGAGGAAGGGGGUGGAGACGCAGCGGGUGACUCACUGCUGUUCUCGCAGACUGUUUCUGAAGAGCUCUGCCGGGAGGCCAGAUAAGGACCGGGAGGCUGGAGUGGGUGAGUCAUAACCCCUCCACUGAGAAACGUGAUCGCAUGUGGAGACACCCUCCCACACCUGCUCCUCCUCCCCCCCGACUCUCUAUUGAAGAUCAUGAUUAAUGCAAAACUGAUUGGGUAAAAAUGCUAACAAUACCCCCCCACGCAUGCGCACACACACGCACACACACGCAUGCACGCACUACCUUUUUCUCUGUACAUUUUUCAGCCUGUGUUCCUCAGGCCAUGACAGGUGGUUGUGUUGUUGUUCCAACUGUGUGACUGCAAGACUAACAGCUUUUCUGCAUGAAAUGAGGGAAUGUUUGGACUUCAGAUUUUUCAAUUAUAUCACCCUCACCUGUAGUCACCCAUUGCCGACAAGCCCAUUCUUCUUCAGGAUGUGUCUCUAUGCUCUGUCUUGACUAUGAAGUGACAUUCUGAUAAUUUAUCUUUUCUUUUAGCAUCAUAUAACAGUCAUGUCUGUUCUGGUUUGGUUUUAUUCAUUGUGUGUGAAUAUGGUAUUUUCAUAUGUAACUCGUGGCUGAAACAUCAUUUUAGCAAACAUGGACUCGCCAUGCAAGGAAAUAAUCUGCAUGUACUUCACAUAACCGUGCUACUGAUGUAAGCAGGAACUAUACUAUUAUAUAAUACAAUACUAUUGAGAGGUGCAAACAGUAAGUUUGAAAGUUUAUUUUUUUGUUUGCACAUUUACUUUCUGUUGUACUCUAAUUUUCACUUCAUAUAAGUUCAGAGAAUAUUUUAGUGAGUGUGUCUGAAGAGCAGUGUGUGAGAAGCAAACAGGCACCAUCUUUAUUUGGCAAAAGAUAGCACCCAGACAACUGGGAGAAAACCUGUCUGCUUUUAAAUGCUCAGCUUCUUUCUAGGACGUCCUUCUCAUGCUGCUUGUAAUGAGCAUGUACCGUCCUGUGCAGAGGGGCCUCUUUGUGCGCAUGUGUGUAUACGUAUGUGUGUGUGAGUGUGUGUGUGUGUACAUGUCUGUGUCUGGCAUCAGCAUAAUAGGCAGAUAUGACAUAAUCUGAAACUAGAUGGUAAUAACACAAACAUAGGUAAAAGGGCAUGCAAAUAGAAGAAUGAACAAUAAACAACAAUUAACUUCAACAGAAUUUAGUCAUUAAGGAGUUCAGAAGUAGAGAAAUAAUGCCAAAAUAAAGCAUGAUUGGUACAAACAUGUAGGAAGAGGGGGAGAGGACUAAGACAGCACAUGUUGUUUCCCUGUUCGAACUUCCAUUUCCUCAUAUUUGUGCCGGAAUCACCAUGCAAGGGCAAGACACCUUAUUUCCUGUUAAUUGUACACCUCUGUGCCAAUCACAACCAGACACAGAGAGGAAAUGUUCAGCCUUCAGCUUUUGUUUCGGUGGAGACAUUUUGGUUAUUCUGGAGCCCAGCUCUAGCUCUCAUUGGCUGAAAGGAGGAGGCUCCAGGGGCCUCAAGGACAUUGACUGUUCCACCUUCAUUCCGAUUUACAUCUCGAAUUGUAGUCCUCCCCUCAAGACUCUUUUUAAUUGGCACUGUCAAUAAAUCUUAUCAUGAGUGGCAUGUCAGAACCGGCUAUUCAGAGGAAGCUUUAGCUGAAGGUUAGCUGUAGAAUCAUGCGAUUGUGCUUUGGAAAUGGUAGAUGCGGCCGAUCGUGUGGGUGCCGUCCCGUAGGCGUGCAGGUGGGUGUCAGGCUCAGGCUCUGUAAUGAAAUGAUUGUGCGUAACGUCCUGCAGGGGCGUUAAUGCCAGAAUCCGCCACCUGACCGGGGUGGGUCUCACACUGGAGACGAGCGAUCGUCCAGGUCAGCCAAACUGUCACAGGAAGCGCGCUGGGGAAAUGUGUGGGCGAGCGGCGCGGAGAGGUCGCCAGGCGCGGCGUACGUCCGCGCUCGUCACGCUGGCCGGCUGUCUCGCCGCGCGUCUGCUGUGUGUCCUGGCGCGACUGAGGGUCACCGACGGAAACGGGCCGCGUGAUUGGCAGGGGCCGUUGGGCUGGAGAGCGGGGGUGACUCACAGGCUCAGAGCCGUCUGUUGCCAAAAGGUUUUUUUUUCCCUCAGUUAUUGUCCUUUUUUCAUUUUUUUUUUAUAUCAGAUUUGCAUCAUCAUAUUUUCCCACCAAUCAGCAUUGUGCCACUGGCACCCUGCAUAAACAGUACUGCAGCUCAUCAUAGUGUGUGUCCUCCCAUGCCCUCACCUGUGGGCUGCUUUUAUCUUACGCCCUACAGGCCACGCAGCACUAAGGAAUGAGUACUACUCGCAGAAUAAAAGCGUCGCUUUGGAUUAAUGCAUCUGCCAAAUAAAAUGUCAUAUAAUGUAAUGUAAUGAUAACACUCAUCUAUGGGCACUCAGUGAUCGAGAGAAUAAUACUGGAAUAAUGCUGGAAACAAAUGUAUAUGUAUCAAUACUACCAAAGCAACUAUGUCUGUCAUAUCACUGAAUAGAGGUCUGCAGUUUAACCGUCCAGUCAACCGUGGUCUAGAGUAUCCUGAGUGUAAUGAAUGUGGAUGUGUGUGUGUGUGUGUGUGUGUGUGUGUGUGCAUGUGUGUGCGUGUGUGGGUGUGUGUGCAUGUGUGGAUGUGUGUGUGUGUGUGUGUGUGUGUGCGUGUGUGUGUGUAUGUGUGUGUGUGUGCAUGUGUGUGCAUGUGUGUGUGUGGAUGUGUGUUGCUGUGUGUGUGCGAGUGUGUACAGUGCAUGUGUUCUACCUCAUUUGCAGCUGUUCUCUGCACUUUGAAGUUGAGCCAUGUCAGUUCAGUCUGGUUUAUCGGGGCCCCCCUCCGAAUCACGCCUCCUCCGUCUGGCCCCUGCAGAACAGUCGGUCAUGUGGAUUCUCAGCAGGGUAAAUUCAGGUCACACACACCCAGCCUGCCCCAUUCAUUGGCCAAACGGCAAACUGAGCCUCAUUGACACUUAACAGUGCUCAGAUUUCACAUGUUGUACAGUCUGCGGGGGACAGAAGCAUGCAAAUGACGCCCACUGUUGUAUGGAUUUUCUGAAAUGCAGAGUGUUGUCAACAAUUAGUGGCUUGCUAACAGACAAUGAAAUACGCUGAAGUUCCUUCCUUAUUUUCCCUGCUUUGUUUUCUCUUUUGCUCUGGUAAAAGAUUGUCCACCCUCUUAAGCGAAACCUUUAGCUAAAGCAGUGAAAAUAUAACUAGACGCAGGUACCUGAUACAACAAGUUGACGUAAAAUACGGUUUUUGGUAAACUGCAGCAUCAUCUGGACAAUUCAUUUAAUGUCUGUUACAUCAGUACUUGAUACAAGUUACUAUAUCAUUUUUUCAGAACAUCUGAUUUUGUUGCAGCCUUUCAAGGUCAAAUUUAUGAACAUGAUAGAGGAAUUGACCAGACUUAAACUUUGUUGAGAUAUGCUUUUGUUCAUUCUUUUUUCCUGUUUCAAGGUUGGCCGACUCCAUCUGGAGAAAGUCUAAUAUGCUUUUUUAUUUUUUUCAGCAGAGAUUUCUGUCUGUACUGGAAUCAGUGUGCUUACCCGUUGAACUUCAGUGUGUAUUAAGCAACUUCAGAUGGUUAAAUUGGUCCGUCACGAUUAUUUGUUGCUAAAAGUAUCCCCCUCCUCAGCCCCCCCCCCCCCAGACUUGAGAAUAAUUCUGAGUGUAUCUGCAGUGAACAGCACAGAUAACCACAGUGCCUGCCCUCUGGUAAGACUGGCCGUCACCCUCUGCUUGCUGUGGCAGGAGGAGCUACACAGUCUCAGCCACAAAGACACUCCUCCAUUUCCAAGAUGAAAAUGACGUGACUGCAAAGGGCUCAGGUUCUCUCUCAUUUUUUUUUGUUCUUUCAGUAAUGAUGCUGGUCAGUCACAUGGGCUGCUCUCCAAAGAAAGGUACCCUUCCAAUUUUAUUUCUGUUUUAAUUCCACCGCCCCUCAGUCUGCUCUCAUGUGGGGUGGAGUGGGGGGGGUGAGUCGCAUUUCAAUCUUUAAUGGCCACGUGUAAACGCUUGAGUGGCUGACACUGGCAUAUCUCUCCACAGCGCUGAAUGCUACAUGUGACUGGGGGUAUAUUUUAACAGAGUUAUGUAACCUCAGACUGCUCCACGUACAGUCGAGCGAGGCUACACAUGAUGCCUGCUACCACGAAUGCUCCUGCAUGCAUGACCUUCACCACGUAUUGCAUAAUUCCUGCACUAAGCGAGCCCUCGAAUUGGCGCAGUUUUCACAGUUUUUUGUUUCGUACCAGAACUGAAUGCAAACUGUGACCACCUGACUUUUGGUUCUCUAAAAAAAUCAUUGUUUAUUUCUUCUCUUUUGUUCAUCUUGGGUCUCAAGUCUGUUUAGUGCCAUUCACUCGCUCACUGUUCUUUUUUCAUGGGGAUAUUUUUUAUAUUUUUCCAGUUUAAAAUGCAGAUUUACAGGUGAGUUCACAUCUGCAGGCACCUGGCAACCAGUGCAGGCUGUCUCCAUAGUGACGCAUGACUACAAAGCAAUAAGUGCUCAUGCCCAUGGAUUCUUGUGGAACAUGAGAGAUAAAGACCUGUGUCCACACUGCAAGUGCCACCUGCGAAAGUGCAAAAGCACAAGGGGCCCUCAGAGUAGAGACGGUGUAUGUGUGUCGGUCCCUUUGGUUCACAGCCGCAGAACCUGUAGGAUCCGUAAUGGCACAUUCGUUUGGGGAGGCUACAUGAGCGUGGAAACCGGGCCGGGCGAUAGGUCGGUGCAACAGCUGGUGUAUGCGAAUGGCACCUCUGCCUCUCAAGUCAGCUGAGGACAGACCUGCUGUGCUAUCAAACUAAUUGCAGCCAUAUGUGUCAGUUGUGAGCCUUUUCCCGUCCUCCCAUUGUAAGCUGUGUCCCUGUUUUGUGUGAAAAUGUCAGCUGGGCGAAGAAGCGCUAGGCUUGUUCAAUUAGGCCUGUUCUGGUUUUUUCAGCUUUUUGCAUGUCUGUCUCUUGACCCUUUUACCCCUGCAGUGAAUAGAUCAUUCAUUCACUGGCCGUCAGUGCCAGCUAUUGGGGAUUAGUAUAGAAUAGCCAGUGUUCCCUACACUGUCCCUCUAAUGAAAUCACUGCGAUACGGCUCCUGCUCUGCAGUUGCAUCUCAGUCAUGCCACUAUUUUCUGAUGUGGCUCACAACAGAAGGCAAUCAGACUGCACUCACCAGUAUGUGACUUGUGUUGUAUUGGGGUUAUUGUGAUUGUUGUUGCUGACUGGGACUGAAAAUGUAAAAUCAGGUGCACUGCUUCACCGAAAAUAUGAUUUUGGCAGACAUUCGGCACACUAGUUCCUCCUUUCAGUUUCCCCUUUUGACUCCGCUGACUCAGAAAAGAACAGAGGUUCACACAAGAGGCAUGCAUGUGUCUGUCUGCUAAAUAUUCUGUGGGUUUUCAGAGGGAAUGCAAGUUUAGCUUGUUCGCUGUCUACAUUUUCUUUUUCACAUGUUUGUACCACGAGCAAAACAGAGAGUGGGAUAAGACUAAGAGUGUCCUGACUGUACAUACAAAGCCAUGGAAGAGAGCAUAAGCAGUGAACCUAACCAGUGAACAGGUCCUGGUGGAGGCAUGCGUGGAAGAAACUUCUAAAGCAUGAAAUAGAGACUCAGUCCCCCGACUGUACCCUCAAGAUGUGAAUUCAGUCAUGAAGCAAGAAUCCAUGUGUUGGAUCGGUUCCAGAACUUUCUAUCUUCUUGACGCAGGGUGGCCAAAUGUCUGCAUGGCUUUCAGUGAGUGCUGCACGCUUGAUUGGUCAUUGUGGGUAAGGUAGCUAACACAUGUCCUCCGGCUCACCCCAGGGGUAACGAGCAUGGGGCACAUUCCCCUCCCCACUGGGCAUACAGACAGAAACGUGGGCUUUAUGUAAGGUUUAUUUAUUGGGCUCCAGCAGCUAUGGCCAUAUGCUUGCGUAACUUUGGGAGGCCUGUAUUAGGGUUAUAAUUCUUCUGUUUGGAACUCAUCCCGAUCUUUAGAAGUUAAAAAGUGACUGGCCUCCUUCCAGCUAUGUUUCUGUCAGGCAGCUUUGGGAGUCAGGGGUGAUGAGCCAGGCUUGAGUUUGCCUUCUCAGUUUGUAUCCUUAUAAAAGAGACAACGCAGAUGCCUCUUAAAGAGAAGCCCCCCAAAAUGUAGCCAUCUGCCUGUACCCUUAUUUUACCUUCAGAUCAGGUUCAAAUAAGACCAGAAAUACUAAAGCCAUGUAAGCCCAGUGCUUACCCCAACAGCUGUAUACUUUAUAUGGAUAAAACAGAAUUGCCAGCAUGGCACUUUACCACACCAGCGUGCCACAAAGUAAUGCAGAAAAGGUUGCAUUUACUUCUGGAUGACCUCCACCCCUGCAUUCAAUGAAAAGUGAAAUAUGGAGGGAGGUCUUGGGCCUGUAUGCAUGUAACACUUGAUAACACUAGUUGAACAAUAGCAUGCCCAAAACCCAAAGAGCAGGGUGGUAUGGUUAAAGUUUACCAUGGCUAUUUAGUUUGGAUUACUCUGUGAUUUAACUGAAUCAGUAAACAGGGAGACUGAAUUUGGAAAUGCGGGAGGAAAAAGUGAGAGAUGGGAGGGAGGAGACGGUGACUGCAUGGGGGUUGGGUGGGGUGGGGGGGGGGCUUUUCAGAGUUGUGUAAGGACAAAUCA